GUAAUUUGUGCGUGUGCGUCUGUUUGUUAAAUUAAUUAUUAAAUAAAUUAUUAAACUGCGACCGCAACCGCGACCGCGACACGAAUUAAUUUAAGUAAUUCUGUGCCGUGCCGUACACUUUUAUUAAAUUGGGGCGCGAAUUAAACUUUAAUUUCGAAACGAAACAAAUUAACCUCGAACUUGAAUGCAUUCAAUUUAGCGGCCGGUUUUAUUUAUUUAUUAAAUUUUAAUUUACAAUUUAAAUCAAAUUUAUGCACGUACUCGAAAUAAUUUGAUUGCAAUUAAGAGCCGGUUUACAGCAAACGAAUUAAAUUUAAUUCCGAUUAAAGAGUAAUUUGUGCGUGUGCGUCUGUUUGUUAAAUUAAUUAUUAAAUAAAUUAUUAAACUGCGACCGCGACACGAAUUAAUUAAAGUGAUUCUGUGCCGUGCCGUACACUUUUAUUAAAUUGGGGCGCGAAUUAAACUUUAAUUUCGAAACGAAACAAAUUAACCUCGAACUUGAAUGCAUUCAAUUUAGCGGCCGGUUUUAUUUAUUUAUUAAAUUUUAAUUUACAAUUUAAAUCAAAUUUAUGCACGUACUCGAAAUAAUUUGAUUGCAAUCAAGAGCCGGUGUACAGCAAACGAAUUAAAUUUAAUUCCGAUUAAAGAGUAAUUUGUGCGUGUGCGUCUGUUUGUUAAAUUAAUUAUUAAAUAAAUUAUUAAACUGCGACCGCAACCGCGACCGCGACACGAAUUAAUUUAAGUAAUUCUGUGCCGUGCCGUACACUUUUAUUAAAUUGGGGCGCGAAUUAAACUUUAAUUUCGAAACGAAACAAAUUAACCUCGAACUUGAGUGCAUUCAAUUUAGCGGCCGGUUUUAUUUAUUUACUAAAUUUUAAUUUACAAUUUAAAUCAAAUUUAUGCACGUACUCGAAAUAAUUUGAUUGCAAUUAAGAGCCGGUUUACAGCAAACGAAUUAAAUUUAAUUCCGAUUAAAGAGUAAUUUGUGCGUGUGCGUCUGUUUGUUAAAUUAAUUAUUAAAUAAAUUAUUAAACUGCGACCGCGACACGAAUUAAUUAAAGUAAUUCUGUGCCGUGCCGUACACUUUUAUUAAAUUGGGGCGCGAAUUAAACUUUAAUUUCGAAACGAAACAAAUUAACCUCGAACUUGAAUGCAUUCAAUUUAGCGGCCGGUUUUAUUUAUUUAUUAAAUUUUAAUUUACAAUUUAAAUAAAAUUUAUGCACGUACUCGAAAUAAUUUGAUUGCAAUCAAGGGCCGGUUUACAGUAAACGAUUUAAAUUUUAAUUCCGACUCAAAGAAUAAUUUCUUUUCGUUUUCAAUUCAAUUCGCGAAUCCGUGUAUUUUUUAAAUUGAAACAAAUUAAAAUGAAAACGAACUUUAAUUUUGAAACGAAACAAAUUAACCUUGAACUUGAAUGCACCUCACGGCCGGUUUAAUUUAUUUAUUAAAUUUUAAUUUUCAAUUUGAAACAAAUUUAUUCACGUUUUCGAAAUAAUUUGAAUGCAAUCAAGGGACGGUUGACAGAAUUUAAUUGAAAAUUAUUUUAAUUUGUCUCGUUUUACGUUUACGAUUCAGUUGAUCGCGCAUUUAAAGACCGGUUUACAACAAAUGAUUUAAAUUUUAAUUCCGACUUAAAGAAUAAUUUGUUUUCGUUUUCAAUUCGAUUCGAAGCGCGAAUCAGUUUAAUUUAAAAUUUAAACAAAUUAAAAUGAAAACGAAUUAAUUUAACUCGAGAAUUAGAAUUUGAAUUUUCGGUUCACUUUGAUAAAAACCGUUGUGAUGUAAAUGACUAAUCGGUUACUAUGACAACUCACAUAUAAAAGCCAAUGCCAAUGUUUUUUUUUUAUGAAAGUGAACCGAAAGUAGAAUCUUUUGGGUGUUUCUGUAGCAUCAUUGGCUUGACAUUAAUUUUAUAAAUUUCCACCCUCAUUUUGAGACGUUCUGUACCAAUAAAUAAUUUUGAAAAGAGUCUUUGAUGCUACAUAAACGUAUUAGUACGGUUUUAUUAAUAAAGGUGUGCUUAACGAUUUCAAUUUAUUUAUUGCAAUUAUUAUUUUUUAUUUUUAAUUAUUUUUUUAAAUUUAAAUCGUUUUGCGAUUUGCUACAAGUACGUAUUGAUAAGCACACCUUUAAUAAAAAAGGGAAGUAUGUGUACUGCGUUUUCAAGUUCACGUGUUUUGAUAAAAAAAAUAAAUUACCACUACCGAAAGUAGCCAACAAAAUUCAUAAUUUUUACCGCGCCUUGUCUUGCUUUUUUUUUCUUUUCCUUCUCCGUCAUAUCGCUUCAAAUGGUAAUAGAUGUAACCGCUGAUGCUGACUGACUGCAGUCAGUCAAUUAAAUUUGUUUCCAAUACAUUGAAGAAAAAGCUAUGAAUGCAAUUUUACUUAUGAGAUAUUUUCCUCACUCCAAGUAAUUUAUUGCUUGCGUCAUUAUCGCCUACUGGGCCAACCGGGGAUUUUGAAUUAAUUCACAUUGUCGCAUCGAAAACAAAUGGUCUCGUAGCAUGGUGCUGAACCAUUGGGAAAAGGAAACUAUCUGAUGAUUAUAAUAGAAGACAUAAGUGAAUGUCGCUCCAACUCAUGGCAUGUUAGGGAAAAAGUGGAGGAAAUAAUAAAAAAAAUUGGAUUCGAUGGAAUUGACUGAUCUAAUUAUGAUUUCUUAAAAGUGGGUUAGUAUGAUUCUCUUGAAUAAGUGGGCACUGAUUAUUUUCCUAUGACUAAAUUUUAUUAAAAUUGAUCAAAAAAAAAAAAAUUGGCAAACCCCUAGAAUUGUUAAUGUAUCACUGGUGUACUAAGCUCGUAGUAAAAUCGAAUAAAGACUCGAUCUCAUUAAUUUGAGUGUGUUAGUCGUGCUGAUGCUCCUCGAUAGACACAUACCUAUAAACGGUAUUAGUUGUCGUGCAAAUACAUAUCCUAGAUAUGUAGAGGAGAUGCUGCGAGCAUAAAAUAGUACACUAAAUACAGGCAUUCUCUAGGAUGGCUUUGCAUUCAUUAAAAAAAAACACACAAAAAAAUACAAAAAUAAAUUAAAAAAAAAAUAAAUAAAAAAAUUAAAAAAAAAUAAAUAAAUAAAUUGAAAAAAAUAAAAAAAUUAAAAAAAAUAAAAAAAUUAAAAUGGUCACAAAAGGAAAUUAAUCAUUGCCUGUUUAUUUAAGAGAAUUGCUUAGGUAGCCCAAGAAUCAUAAUUAGAUCAGUGAAUUUCAUCGCGUCCGCCUCUGCUUUUUUCCUGUUUGCCAUGAGUUUGAGUGGCAUUCCCGUCUUUUAUUAUAAUCAUCACACUGUUUCCUUUUCCUGGUGGUGUCUGCACUGUGCCACGAGACCAUUGCUUUCGAUGCUUCAUUGUGGGUCAAUUUAAAAUCACCAACUGGCCCAUUUAGCCGAUUAUGGCACCAGCAAGAAUUAUUUGGACUGAGAAUAAAAUAUUUUAUGGGUAAUGCGCGUUUAUAGUUUUUUCUCUUUGUUUUUUUUAACGGUGUCACAUAAUCACAGUCAGCAAUUGCUUUCUCAUUUAUUUCCACUUUAAGCGAUUUUUUGUCAAUAUUUUUUUGUUAAUUUAAUGAAUUUGGUGGCUGAUUUCAGUAGCGGAUAUUUUUUUAAUGUAAAGCUCGAGUCUCUUAUUUAUGCUGCUAUAAGUACAUACUUUCCUUUACAUUUACAUUUAAGUGGGGAGUUUUUAAACGUUACAAUUCCGAAGCAAAUUAAAAAUUUAAUUUAAAUUAACUCUAACUUUUUUUAUAAUAUAAUAAAGGUCGAUUUACAUUAUUAACCUAAUUGCAGCCAAACUUUAGAUUGAUCACAUGAUCAAAUUGAUUGGUACCCUAAUUUUAGUCUUAUAUAAACCGACCUUUAGUAUAUUUUUUUUUUAUUAACUGAGGUUUUGGGUUUGUAAUUUUGGGUACAGAAAAUAUUUUUGUUUUAUUUUGUAACAUUAAUCUUAGAUUCGGUUUAUUUGUUUUUCCAUUUUUGGUGUGUGUAUAAUUUUAACCAUCAUAGGGGGAUUUUUUUGACACUUUAUCAAUGUUUUUUAUGUACAUUGACAAAUAGUCUCAAUCCCUUCAAGAGCAGCUUUUACAAUUUUCGUAUAAAUUUCGGUUAAGUCUGUUAAUCGUGGUAUCGUGUAAUUUCAAUAAUUGUUACAAUUAUUUUUUUUUUCAUAAAUAAAUAAAUUUAUCCGACGAUUGUAAAUGCAGCUCUUAUUAUUUUUAUUUUUAUUAAUCAUAAAUAAUUUCUUUGUUUGUUAGAAAUUUUUAUCACAUGUUUUGAAGCAAGGGUCGUACUGUUGCUCGCCCAACACGAAUAAACAGUCGUCAAAUGUGCUAACCAUUGCAAUUUCCGCUUGGAGUUAUGAAUUUUGAGAGCUCAAAAGCUGGUGUCUGUGUUGGAUUGCUUUACGGACUGGUUGCGGCCGGCCUGCGGGAUCCGGAGGACUUCAAAGACAUUCUUCGUCCGGAUCUUCAAAAAUUAUUUUUUUUUAACUGGCAAUAAUUAUUAUUGAACAUUGUUAUAUAUUUGUGUGAUUGAUUAUGUUUUAUGAAUAAACGCUAGAGAAAUGU